GAGCAAUGUUGCUAAAAAGAAACAUGACUGCAAAACAUUCUCUGUGACGCCUGGGAUUGCAGAAGAAAGCAGUUUGGCAAAAUAAACAGACUUUUGAGUUAACAAAAUUAUAGCAUUAACUUUAUAAUGACAACGUUUUCAGAUUCAAAGCUUCUGGCAAUAAACACUUUUUAAACGAUUUCUUAAAAUGCCACAAGGCCACAGACGAGAACACUAGUCGUGACUAGCUUUGGGAGAAUGACUUCGACAAGACUUGAUGAUGAUUGGUUUAAAAGCUCUAAUCUUAUAUCGAGAUAAUUCCUGGGAACGAUGUUAAUUAUAAAAAUUAGGAAAAAGGCAUGGUUUUAAUUAAUGGGUGAAAUGACGAAAGUCUUUCACAUUUCACUAAAGAAGUUAUGCUGACAGGCAUGGAAAAUGUUUGUGGUUCUACCAACAUAACGAAAUGACUUAGCAUAUAUACAUAUACAGCGCUAUCCUGAUUGACACAAAAUGUGUAAAUGUAGUUAACGAUAUCUGUUUUUAAAUGAUUUGUUUUGUUAAAAAUUUCAAGUAGUUAGUGUUUACCGCAUAACAGCUAGGUAUUUCCAAGUUUGAUUCAACAUUUUAGAGUCUUAGCCAAUAAGGGCUACAUAUUUUUGACUGAAUGCUGUGCUAAAUCAGUGGUCAUUCAAUUGUUGUGGUAGGUUGUGUUGUUUUUAAUUAGCUAUUGCUGCGUAAAAACCACUUUACUUGUGCAAAAUCAUGAUAUAAUUUUGCUAUUUUUAUUUUAUUUAUCUGUUGUUGUUUAUGGUGUACUAUGAUCUAAUAAUACAAAUAAAGCCUAUUUACAAUGCAGUUUGUGUUGUUGUUGUUGCUUAUUUCUCUAUCUUUCUCCUUUUUGAUGUGAUUAAAUGUUUCAAAUAGAAUAAAUAUCAAAAGUUUUAUUAGUAAUAGAUACGGUUUUGCAUGUCUUUUACAGAAUAUAGUUUCUCCAAAUUUAUAGCCUGAAUAUUGCCCCAAAAACAAUUAUAUUCACCAAUAACUUGCGAAAACAAGCCUGCAAAUAUUUUUCUGGAUGUGGAAAAAAGAAGUUUUUCUGGCUAGCUAAGUAUAGUCUAUUAUAAGAUUAAAAAGGGAAAACACGAGGCCAAAUUUUCACGCAGAUACAAUUUACUAUAUACAGGUUGAAGCAGGAUCGUAUCAUGAUCGUCUAUCGCGGUGAAUGAACAUAAACAACACUAUACAUAACAUAACGAGUUAUCAUAAUGGCAACCUGGCUACAAAGCCAUAAUGGCUCUAGGGUGGUUAAAAAGUGACAGUUUCUGGGCUCCCAACAUGAUAUAAUAUAUAAAAUGAAACAAACCGACCUGACUACAUGCAAUAUCUGUCCUGAAGAAAUAUCUGAAGGUUUCUCCUGAUACCAGAGGUACAUGAUCCAAAAUUUGCUAGAGUCAUUGGUUGUCAUUGGAUGCGCUGCCAUUAGCUAUAGUAAUUGAAGCCAAAAGAUGGAGUUGAUGAUAUUAGUAGGUUGCAGUGAUAGAUGCUUCUUGAAAACGUGGAGCUAGCUUAAAAUUAUUUCAGUUAAGGAAGUUAUUGCUACUACUGGUGAGAAGCUAAAUCAGAGUGACUCCCUCCUAUUUAUAGGGCCCCUGGAUUGUUGAUUGGCUAUCUUAGAACCUCCUAAUAUGGACAUACUAUACCCAAUCCUUUAGUCCCCAACUCUAAAGUAUCAACAACAAGAAAGUUGCUUCAAGUUAUGACACAUAGCUUUGAUUUGCUUAAUUGGGAUAAAGAUGCCUUGGGUGAGGAGCAAGACAACCUUGUCUACCCUUAAUGAUGCAUCUGCAUAGCAACUGUCAAGUAUUGGGAACUGCAAUUAACAUGAGCUAAACUGUGUUUAGCGCCAUGUAGUGAUGGGUUAAAUAACCAUAUAUUUCUUUAUAAAUUCAAGUGUUGCUUUAUUGUGCUGCAAAUAUAUACCCGGGGUCUUCAUAAACCAGACACAUGCUGAAGCAAUACGGUAUCAUGCUCAAAGCUCUUCAUAAAGACAAUUUUUAUAACUUUAAAGGAUGAUUUCUAUCUUAACGAUCAUUACAAAAAGUUGAAAAACCUACAGAUAUUGCAGGAAGAUUCUGCACAUUAUCUAAAGAUCCUGAAACUGUCACUGCACAAAAGAUUAAUGAUGCCAUUGGUUAUGGUGUCUUUGCCAAAGUAGAUUUCUGUAAAGGAGACUUUAUUGUUGAUUAUAGAGGUGAUAGGAUAUCAAAAUUUGAAGCAGAAAAGAAGAUGAAGCUGUAUACACGACAAGGAUUGGGCAGCUUUAUUUAUCAUGGUGUCAAGGAUAUUUAUGGCAAAUCCUUUUGGAGGAACAGGAAUCUACGCAAGCCCAUAAAUUUACCCAAAGAUAUGGAGUCUAUGUUGAUUACAUAUCAAACAGGAAAAGGAGCUGACCAUCUUGUGCCUGUAAUUUUUCCUUCAGAAACCAUCCCAGCAAUGAAGUACUUAACAGACGAUAAGAUACGACAAGAUGCUGGUGUGCAUAAGGAUAGCCCGUAUAUAUUUGCGAGUACACAGAAUAGUCGUAGUCAUGCAAGUGGUUGGCACUGUAUCAACGAGAUUCUGAAGCGGUUAUCUUUAAAAGGAGCUAUAAAUGCUACAAAGAACAGGCAUCGUGUUGCGUCGCUUCUUGCAAAGUUGCAGUUAUCAGAAAAGGAAAAGGACUUGAUAUUUAAACAUUUUGGUCAUUCAAAACAUAUGAAUGAAGAGGUAUACCAAGCUCCCCCUGGGUCUCAACAGCUUAAAACAACUGCACCACGUCUGCAAGAGAUAACAUCUGGAUUGAUGAAAAACCAUCCAAAAUUGAAUUUUCCUGAUGAGUCACGUGGUGUUCCUUCGACCAUGAAACCGUAAUUAAGUCCUUUAACCAUGAAACCUCAAUCAUUGGAUGCUGAACCUAGUUUGCUAAAAGUUGGGAAGGUUGCUGUUACUGAGAAAAGUGUUUUGGCUGCUAGAAAGUAUCCAAAAAGGAAAAGAGGCAAAGUGAGAUACGGUGAUCCUGAAUUCAGGGAUGAAACCUUGACUG